UAGGGAAUCUUCCACAAUGGACGCAAGUCUGAUGGAGCAACGCCGCGUGAGUGAAGAAGGUUUUCGGACCGUAAAGCUCUGUUGUUGGUGAAGAAGGAUAGAGGUAGUAACUGGCCUUUAUUUGACGGUAAUCAACCAGAAAGUCACGGCUAACUACGUGCCAGCAGCCGCGGUAAUACGUAGGUGGCAAGCGUUGUCCGGAUUUAUUGGGCGUAAAGCGAGCGCAGGCGGAAGAAUAAGUCUGAUGUGAAAGCCCUCGGCUUAACCGAGGAAUUGCAUCGGAAACUGUUUUCUGAGUGCAGAAGAGGAGAGUAGAACUCCAUGUGUAGCGGUGGAAUGCGUAGAUAUAUGGAAGAAUACCAGUGGCGAAGGCGGCUCUCUGGUCUGCAACUGACGCUGAGGCUCGAAAGCAUGGGUAGCGAACAGGAUUAGAUACCCUGGUAGUCCAUGCCGUAAACGAUGAGUGCUAAGUGUUGGGAGGCUUCCGCCUCUCAGUGCUGCAGCUAACGCAUUAAGCACCCCGCCUGGGGGAGUACGACCGCAAGGUU
rnacentral:rRNA from 1 species